rnacentral:rRNA from 1 species
CACCAGCGCCACGAGUGGGGACCGCUUUUAUUGGGCCUAAAGCGUCCGUAGCCGGGUUAGUUAAUCUUCUGUGAAAUUGUCAAGCUCAACUUGACAUCGUGCAGUAGACACUACUAACCUUGAGACCGGGAGGAGUCAGAGGUAUUUUUGGGGUAGCGGUAAAAUGCAAUAAUCCCAUAAGGACCACCUGUGGCGAAGGCGUCUGACUAGAACGGGUCUGACGGUGAGGGACGAAAGCUAGGGGAGCAAUCCG